rnacentral:rRNA from 1 species
UUCCGGUUGAUCCUGCCGGAGGGGACCCCUAUCGGGCUCGGACUAAGCCAUGCGAGUCGGCUGGGGGCCCUUGCCCCUGGCGGCGCACGGCUCAGUAAUACACGGUCAACCUGCCCUGGGGACCGGGAUAACCUCGGGAAACUGAGGCUAAUCCCGGAUAGGGGUGGAUUCCUGGAAUGGGUCCACCCCCAAAGUAGGCGGGGGAAUGGCCCCGCUGAGGCCCCAGGAUGGGACCGUGGCCCAUCAGGUAGUAGGUGGGGUAACGGCCCACCUAGCCUAAGACGGGUGCGGGCGGUGGGAGCCGGAGCCCGGAGAUGGGCACUGAGACAAGGGCCUAGGCCCUACGGGGCGCAGCAGGCGCGAAACUUCCCCAAUGCGCGCAAGCGUGAGGGAGUGAGCCCGAGUGCCGCCCGCUGAGGGCGGCUGUUCCCGGGU